AUUGAACGCUGGCGGCAGGCUUAACACAUGCAAGUCGAGCGGGGUGAUGGUGCUUGCACUAUCACUUAGCGGCGGACGGGUGAGUAAUGCUUAGGAAUCUGCCUAUUAGUGGGGGACAACAUCUCGAAAGGGAUGCUAAUACCGCAUACGUCCUACGGGAGAAAGCAGGGGAUCACUUGUGACCUUGCGCUAAUAGAUGAGCCUAAGUCGGAUUAGCUAGUUGGUGGGGUAAAGGCCUACCAAGGCGACGAUCUGUAGCGGGUCUGAGAGGAUGAUACGCCACACUGGGACUGGGACACGGCCCAGACUCCUACGGGAGGCAGCAGUGGGGAAUAUUGGACAAUGGGGAGAACCCUGAUCCAGCCAUGCCGCGUGUGUGAAGAAGGCCUUAUGGUUGUAAAGCACUUUAAGCGAGGAGGAGGCUCUUUUGGUUAAUACCCAAGAUGAGUGGACGUUACUCGCAGAAUAAGCACCGGCUAACUCUGUGCCAGCAGCCGCGGUAA
rnacentral:rRNA from 1 species